rnacentral:rRNA from 1 species
GGAAUCUUCCACAAUGGACGAAAGUCUGAUGGAGCAACGCCGCGUGAGUGAAGAAGGUUUUCGGAUCGUAAAACUCUGUUGUUGGAGAAGAACACGUUUGAGAGUAACUGUUCAGACGUUUACGGUAUCCAACCAGAAAGCCACGGCUAACUCCGUGCCAGCAGCCGCGGUAAUACGGAGGGUGCAAGCGUUGUCCGGAAUCAUUGGGCGUCAAGCGUUCGUAGGCGGUAAGAUAAGUCAGAUGUUAAAGCCCGGGGCUCAACUCCGGUUCGGCAUUUGAUACUAUCUAACUAGAAUGUGGUAGAGGUUAAGGGAAUUCCGGGUGUAGCGGUGAAAUGCGUAGAUAUCAGGAGGAACAUCGGUGGCGAAAGCGCUUAACUGGGCCAUUAUUGACGCUGAGGAACGAAAGCCAGGGGAGCAAAUG